rnacentral:rRNA from 1 species
UGUUGGCGGGCAGGCCUACACAUGCAAGUCGAGCGGAACGAGUUAACUGAACCUUCGGGGGAACGUUAACGGCGUCGAGCGGCGGACGGGUGAGUAAUGCCGGGGAAAUUGCCCUGAUGUGGGGGAUAACCAUUGGAAACGAUGGCUAAUACCGCAUAAUAGCUUCGGCUCAAAGAGGGGGACCUUCGGGCCUCUCGCGUCAGGAUAUGCCCAGGUGGGAUUAGCUAGUUGGUGAGGUAAUGGCUCACCAAGGCGACGAUCCCUAGCUGGUCUGAGAGGAUGAUCAGCCACACUGGAACUGAGACACGGUCCAGACUCCUACGGGAGGCAGCAGUGGGGAAUAUUGCACAAUGGGCGCAAGCCUGAUGCAGCCAUGCCGCGUGUGUGAAGAAGGCCUUCGGGUUGUAAAGCACUUUCAGUCGUGAGGAAGGUGGUGUCGUUAAUAGCUGCAUCAUUUGACGUUAGCUACAGAAGAAGCACCGGCUAACUCCGUGCCAGCAGCCGCGGUAAUACGGAGGGUGCGAGCGUUAAUCGGAAUUACUGGGCGUAAAGCGCAUGCAGGUGGUUAGUUAAGUCAGAUGUGAAAGCCCGGGGCUCAACCUCGGAACUGCAUUUGAAACUGGCUGACUAGAGUACUGUAGAGGGGGGUAGAAUUUCAGGUGUAGCGGUGAAAUGCGUAGAGAUCUGAAGGAAUACCGGUGGCGAAGGCGGCCCCCCUGGACAGAUACUGACACUCAGAUGCGAAAGCGUGGGGGAGCAAACAGGAUUAGAUACCCUGGUAGUCCACGCCGUAAAACGAAUGUCUACUUGGAGGUUGUGGGCCUUGAGCCGUGGGCUUUCGGAGCUAACGCGUUAAGUUAGAACCGUCCUGGGGGGAGUUUACCGGAUUCCGCCAG